rnacentral:rRNA from 1 species
AAGUCGUAACAAGGUUUCCGUAGGUGAACCUGCGGAAGGAUCAUUAUUGAAAUAAACCUGAUGGGUUGUUGCUGGUUCUCCAGGGAGCAUGUGCACACCUUGUCAUCUUUAUAUCUCCACCUGUGCACUUUUUGUAGACCUUUUCAGGUCUAUGUUGCUUCAUUUUACCCCAAUGUAUGUUAAUAGAAUGUUGUACCUAUAUAAUAUAUACAACUUUCAGCAACGGAUCUCUUGGCUCUCGCAUCGAUGAAGAACGCAGCGAAAUGCGAUAAGUAAUGUGAAUUGCAGAAUUCAGUGAAUCAUCGAAUCUUUGAACGCACCUUGCGCUCCUUGGUAUUCCGAGGAGCAUGCCUGUUUGAGUGUCAUUAAUAUAUAUCAACCCUCUCUCUUUGUAGUGAGUGGUUUGGAUGUGGGGGUUUUGCUGGCCUCUUGAAAAAAAGGGUUCAGCUCUCCUGAAAUGCAUUAGCAGAACAAACCUGUUCAUUGGUGUGAUAACUAUCUGCGCCAUUGAAUGUGAGGGGCAGUUCAGCUUUCUAACAGUCCUUUGUUGGACAAUUCAUCAUUAAUGUGACCUCAAAUCAGGUAGGACUACCCGCUGAACUUAAGCAUAUCAAUAAGCGGAGGAAAAGAAACUAACAAGGAUUCCCCUAGUAACUGCGAGUGAAGCGGGAAAAGCUCAAAUUUAAAAUCUGGCGGUCUUUUGGCUGUCCGAGUUGUAAUCUAGAGAAGUGUUAUCCGCGCUGGACCGUGUACAAGUCUCCUGGAAUGGAGCAUCAUAGAGGGUGAGAAUCCCGUCUUUGACAUGGACUGCCAGGGCUUUGUGAUGCGCUCUCAAAGAGUCGAGUUGUUUGGGAAUGCAGCUCAAAAUGGGUGGUAAAUUCCAUCUAAAGCUAAAUAUUGGCGAGAGACCGAUAGCGAACAAGUACCGUGAGGGAAAGAUGAAAAGAACUUUGGAAAGAGAGUUAAACAGUACGUGAAAUUGCUGAAAGGGAAACGCUUGAAGUCAGUCGCGUCAUCCAGGGAUCAACCUUGCUUUUGCUUGGUGCACUUCCUGGUUUGAUGGGUCAGCAUCAAUUUUGACCGUUGGAAAAAGGCUGAGGGAAUGUGGCAUCUUUGGAUGUGUUAUAGCCCUCUGUCACAUACAAUGGUUGGGAUUGAGGAACUCAGCACGCCGCAAGGCCGGGUUUUAAACCGCGUACGUGCUUAGGAUGCUGGCAAUAUGGCUUUAAUCGACC